rnacentral:rRNA from 1 species
AGAGUUUGAUCCUGGCUCAGGAUGAACGCUGGCGGCAUGCCUAAUACAUGCAAGUCGAACGAAGUCUUUAGAAAAGCUUGCUUUUCAAAAAGACUUAGUGGCGAACGGGUGAGUAACACGUAGGGAACCUGCCCAUGUGCCUGGGAUAACAGAUGGAAACGUCUGCUAAAACCGGAUAGGUAUGAGGAUCGCAUGAGCCUCAUAUUAAAAGAGCGCUAGCUCUGAACAUGGAUGGACCUGCGGCGCAUUAGCUAGUUGGCGGGGUAACGGCCCACCAAGGCAACGAUGCGUAGCCGACCUGAGAGGGUGAACGGCCACAUUGGGACUGAGACACGGCCCAAACUCCUACGGGAGGCAGCAGUAGGGAAUUUUCGUCAAUGGAGGGAACUCUGAACGAGCAAUGCCGCGUGAGUGAAGAAGGUCUUCGGAUCGUAAAGCUCUGUUGUAAGAGAAAAACGGUGGAUAUAGGAAAUGAUGUCCAAGUGAUGGUAUCUUACCAGAAAGCCACGGCUAACUACGUGCCAGCAGCCGCGGUAAUACGUAGGUGGCAAGCGUUAUCCGGAAUGAUUGGGCGUAAAGGGUGCGUAGGUGGUGCAUUAAGUCUGAAGUAAAAGCCAGCAGCUCAACUGCUGUAAGCUUUGGAAACUGGUGUACUAGAGUGCAGGAGAGGGCGAUGGAAUUCCAUGUGUAGCGGUAAAAUGCGUAGAUAUAUGGAGGAACACCAGUGGCGAAGGCGGUCGCCUGGCCUGUAACUGACACUGAGGCACGAAAGCGUGGGGAGCAAAUAGGAUUAGAUACCCUAGUAGUCCACGCCGUAAACGAUGAGAACUAAGUGUUGGAGAGAUUCAGUGCUGCAGUUAACGCAAUAAGUUCUCCGCCUGGGGAGUAUGCACGCAAGUGUGAAACUCAAAGGAAUUGACGGGGGCCCGCACAAGCGGUGGAGUAUGUGGUUUAAUUCGAAGCAACGCGAAGAACCUUACCAGGGCUUGACAUCCCACUAACGAAGCAGAGAUGCAUUAGGUGCCCUUCGGGGAAAGUGGAGACAGGUGGUGCAUGGUUGUCGUCAGCUCGUGUCGUGAGAUGUUGGGUUAAGUCCCGCAACGAGCGCAACCCUUGUCGCAUGUUACCAGCAUUCAGUUGGGGACUCAUGUGAGACUGCCGGUGACAAACCGGAGGAAGGUGGGGAUGACGUCAAAUCAUCAUGCCCCUUAUGGCCUGGGCUACACACGUACUACAAUGGCGUCUACAAAGAGGAGCGACACAGUGAUGUGAAGCAAAUCUCAUAAAGGACGUCUCAGUUCGGAUUGAAGUCUGCAACUCGACUUCAUGAAGUCGGAAUCGCUAGUAAUCGCAGAUCAGCAUGCUGCGGUGAAUACGUUCUCGGGCCUUGUACACACCGCCCGUCAAACCAUGGGAGUUGGUAAUACCCGAAGCCGGUGGCAUAACCGCAAGGAGUGAGCCGUCGAAGGUAGGACCGAUGACUGGGGUUAAGUCGUAACAAGGUAUCCCUACGGGAACGUGGGGAUG